UGAGGUUUGCAUUCCCAGGAGCUAGGCGGGCUCAUGUUGUAUUGAUUGCAGAAGUUUACCAUUUCCAACUGCAGCAAAACCCUGUCAUCUCUCAGUGUUUGUGUGUUCAGCCAACUCCACGCUCGUUGCACUAAAAAGCUCUUCAGGAACAGAAGAAUACACAAAUGCAGAUAUUACCACACAGGAUUGGCACCAGGAUCUGAGGAAGAAUCUAUUUAUAAAAUCUCUGUGCAUUUGCUUUGAAGACAGAAAACCUCAC